UAGAUUUCAUAUCUUAAGAUAUAUUUAUUCUAAGAUAAGAAAAAUAUUUUAUUUUAAUGUAUAGACAUUAAUUGUUAUUUUUUUACAUUUGACAUUUGACAUUUAUAUUAAUUUUAUUAUAUUAUUUGGUGUAUAUAAUAUAUAUUGCAUAGAACUUAAAUUUGAUUUUAGAUAUAAUAUUACUAAAUCUUAUCAAAAUUAUAUUAGGUGUUAAGAGAAUAUAAAGAUACUUCCAUUGUAAAUAAAAAAUAAUAUAAUAAUAGGUUCUUAUUUAUAUAAAAUAUAUAUACAUAUAAAUUUUAAAUUUAUAAUUUUAAUGGGACCAUAUUUACAUAGAAUUUUAUUAUCUUAUAAUUUUAUCGAUUUGUGUCAAAUUUUAAACCGGCACAAGUUGGAACCAGCAAAAUUUAUUAAUUUAUAGACAUUAUUAGUUUAUCGACUAUUGAUUUAUAGAGGUUCUACUGUAUAUAACAAUAAAAAUUCAAUGUGAUGUUUAACUAUCCAUGCAGUAUAUAAUGUUAAUUAAUCAUAAGUUUGGUUUGAGAUGGAAGGGAAUUUUUUUUAUUAUAUUCUAUUUUUAUAUGUUAUAUAACAACUUUAUUUUCUUGAAUGAACUAAAAAAUUUAAUUAAAUACUUACUAAUUUUUAAUAUAAUCUUAUAAAUUAUGUUACAUGUGGGACAUCCACCUCAUAAACCAUAUAUUUAAAUAGUAAUGUUUGAAAAGUAUUUUAUUGACAUUCCUUUAAAUAAAUUCUUAAUUAUAAAAAUAGCAAUAUCUUUUUGAGAGCAUCAAAAUUAUGUCCACGCAUAGGACACAUACUUUUUUAUUUAUUUAUAGGAAAAUGAACGAGUCUAAAGCUUCCACAUGUUAUAUGAGCAAAACAUGGAUUUUUCUAUAUUAGAUUCGUUUAAGUCGGAACAUAUUAAUUUGAGUUUCUUAAAUUAGAUUUUUAAUAUGUAUAUAUAUAUGUAAGAAUACUUCUUAUGUUUAAAAAAAAUAUAAUAGUUGAUCUCUUUCCUAAAUUUUUAACUCAAUAUCAAUCCAUUUCUAUAAUCCAAGAUGAAGAAAUCCCUUCAACUCUCGUUUAUGUUCUUAAUUAUCUUCAUCAUUCUCUCACAAGGAAUGAUGGCAGAUGCACAGAAAAAGAAUUGUCCUCAUAAAAUUCCAAUAAAAGGAAGCUAUUGUAUUCCAACUAAAUGUUUGGAUAUGUGUAAGAAGCAACAUGGAACUCUUGGUAGUUGUUCGGAAGAAAAAGGAUUUUGUAACUGCGCUUGUAAGUAAGGGUUCUCACUAAGUGUUAUGAAUCUAAUAAUAUCCAACCAAAGUUUUAUA